rnacentral:rRNA from 1 species
GACGAACGCUGGCGGCGUGCUUAACACAUGCAAGUCGAACGGAAAGGCCCUGCUUUUGUGGGGUGCUCGAGUGGCGAACGGGUGAGUAACACGUGAGUAGCCUGCCCUUGACUUUGGGAUAACUUCAGGAAACUGGGGCUAAUACCGGAUAGGAGCUCCUGCUGCAUGGUGGGGGUUGGAAAGUUUCGGCGGUUGGGGAUGGACUCGCGGCUUAUCAGCUUGUUGGUGGGGUAGUGGCUUACCAAGGCUUUGACGGGUAGCCGGCCUGAGAGGGUGACCGGCCACAUUGGGACUGAGAUACGGCCCAGACUCCUACGGGAGGCAGCAGUGGGGAAUAUUGCACAAUGGGCGGAAGCCUGAUGCAGCAACGCCGCGUGCGGGAUGACGGCCUUCGGGUUGUAAACCGCUUUCGCCUGUGACGAGGCGUGAGUGACGGUAAUGGGUAAAGAAGCACCGGCUAACUACGUG